rnacentral:rRNA from 1 species
UACAGAGGGUGCAAGCGUUAAUCGGAAUUACUGGGCGUAAAGCGUGCGUAGACGGUCACGUAAGUCAGAUGUGAAAGCCCCGGGCUCAACCUGGGAAUUGCAUUUGAGACUGCGUAGCUAGGGUGCGGAAGAGGGAAGCGGAAUUUCCGGUGUAGCGGUGAAAUGCGUAGAUAUCGGAAGGAACACCAGUGGCGAAAGCGGCUUCCUGGUCCAGCACCGACGUUCAGGCACGAAAGCGUGGGGAGCAAACAGG